AGGUAAGUUCCUAAUCCUUGAAAUAGGAUGUCUCUUGGUAUCGGGGUUGAUUUAUAAGACCUUUGGGCAUAAUCUCCUGAAAUCCCUUCAAACACAACUUUCAACUCCUUCGGACAUGAUCGUCUAGGAGUAUUUACUUUUCAAAGUUCGUUGCCUCUGUUUAGAGGAGCAAUUUAUUUUCCAAAGUUCGUUGCCUCUGUUUAGAGGAGCAAUUUACUUUUCAAAAGUCGUGGUGCCUCUGUUUAGAGGAGCAAUUUACUUUUUCAAAGUUCGUUGCCUCUGUUUAGAGGAGCAAUUUACUUUUCCAAGUUCGUUGCCUCUGUUUAGAGGAGCAAUUUACUUUUCAAAGUCGUGGUACCUCUGUUUAGAGGAGCAAUUUACUUUUUCAAAGUUCGUUGCCUCUGUUU
rnacentral:lncRNA from 1 species